UCGAGAAUUUUUCUCAAUGGGGGAAACCCUGAAGGAGCGACGCCGCGUGGAGGAUGAAGGUCUUCGGAUUGUAAACUCCUGUCAUUGGUGAACAAGGCCAUCGGUUAACUGCCGUUUGGUUUGAUAGUAGCCGAAGAGGAAGAGACGGCUAACUCUGUGCCAGCAGCCGCGGUAAUACAGAGGUCUCAAGCGUUGUUCGGAUUCAUUGGGCGUAAAGGGUGCGUAGGCGGCGAGGCAAGUCUGGUGUGAAAUCCCGGGGCUCAACCCCGGAACUGCACUGGAUACUGCUUUGCUAGAGUACUGGAGAGGGAACUGGAAUUUACGGUGUAGCAGUGAAAUGCGUAGAUAUCGUAAGGAAGACCAGCGGCGAAGGCGAGUUCCUGGACAGUAACUGACGCUGAGGCACGAAGGCCAGGGGAGCAAACGGGAUUAGAUACCCCGGUAGUCUUGGCAGUAAACGGUGCGCGUUUGGUGUGGGAGGAUUCGACCCUUCCGUGCCGGAGCUAACGCGUUAAAC
rnacentral:rRNA from 1 species